CCUACGGGAGGCAGCAGUGAGGAAUAUUGGUCAAUGGACGCGAGCCUGAACCAGCCAAGUAGCGUGAAGGAUGACUGCCCUACGGGUUGUAACCUUCUUUUAUAAAGGAAUAAAGUGAGUCACGUGUGCCUUUUUGUAUGUACUUUAUGAAUAAGGAUCGCCUAAAUCCGUGCCCGCAGCCGCGGUAAUACGGAGGAUCCGAGCGUUAUCCGGAUUUAUUGGGUUUAAAGGGCGCGUAGAUGGGGUGUUAAGUCAAUGGUGAAAGUUUGCGGCUCAACCGUAAAAUUGCAAUUGAUACUGGUAGUCUAGAGUACAGGUGAGGUAGGCGGAAUUCGUGGUGUAGCGGUGAAAUGCUUAGAGAUCACGAAGAACUCCGAUUGCGAAGGCAGCUUACUAAACUGCCACUGACAUUGAUGCUCGAAAGUGUGGGGAUCAAACAGGAUUAGAUACCCUAGUAGUC
rnacentral:rRNA from 1 species